rnacentral:rRNA from 1 species
CAAUAGCGUAUAUUAAAGUUGUUGCAGUUAAAAAGCUCGUAGUUGGAUUUCUGGUGGGAGCGAUCGGUCUGGCGCUUAGCGCGAGUACUUGCAUCGUCUCCGGCCAUCCUUGGGGAAAGUCUGUCUGGCAUUAAGUUGUCGGGCAGAGGAUCCUCAUCGUUUACUGUGAAAAAAUUAGAGUGUUCAAAGCAGGCUUAUGCCGUUGAAUAUAUUAGCAUGGAAUAAUAAGAUAGGACUUUGGUACUAUUUUGUUGGUUUGCGCACCAAAGUAAUGAUUAAUAGGGACAGUUGGGGGUAUUCGUAUUCCGUUGUCAGAGGUGAAAUUCUUGGAUUUACGGAAGGCGAACUACUGCGAAAGCAUUUACCAAGGAUGUUUUCAUUAA